rnacentral:rRNA from 1 species
UGCUUACCUGCAAGUCGAACGGUGAAGCCCAGCUUGCUGGGUGGAUCAGUGGCGAACGGGUGAGUAACACGUGAGCAACCUGCCCUGGACUCUGGGAUAAGCGCUGGAAACGGCGUCUAAUACUGGAUAUGAGCUUUCACCGCAUGGUGGGGGUUGGAAAGAUUUUUCGGUCUGGGAUGGGCUCGCGGCCUAUCAGCUUGUUGGUGAGGUAAUGGCUUACCAAGGCGUCGACGGGUAGCCGGCCUGAGAGGGUGACCGGCCACACUGGGACUGAGACACGGCCCAGACUCCUACGGGAGGCAGCAGUGGGGAAUAUUGCACAAUGGGCGGAAGCCUGAUGCAGCAACGCCGCGUGAGGGAUGACGGCCUUCGGGUUGUAAACCUCUUUUAGCAAGGAAGAAGCGAAAGUGACGGUACUUGCAGAAAAAGCGCCGGCUAACUACGUGCCAGCAGCCGCGGUAAUACGUAGGGCGCAAGCGUUAUCCGGAAUUAUUGGGCGUAAAGAGCUCGUAGGCGGUUUGUCGCGUCUGCUGUGAAAUCCCGAGGCUCAACCUCGGGCCUGCAGUGGGUACGGGCAGACUAGAGUGCGGUAGGGGAGAUUGGAAUUCCUGGUGUAGCGGUGGAAUGCGCAGAUAUCAGGAGGAACACCGAUGGCGAAGGCAGAUCUCUGGGCCGUAACUGACGCUGAGGAGCGAAAGGGUGGGGAGCAAACAGGCUUAGAUACCCUGGUAGUCCACCCCGUAAACGUUGGGAACUAGUUGUGGGGUCCUUUCCACGGAUUCCGUGACGCAGCUAACGCAUUAAGUUCCCCGCCUGGGGAGUACGGCCGCAAGGCUAAAACUCAAAGGAAUUGACGGGGACCCGCACAAGCGGCGGAGCAUGCGGAUUAAUUCGAUGCAACGCGAAGAACCUUACCAAGGCUUGACUUACACGAGAACACCCUAGAAAUAGGGGACUCUUUGGACACUCGUGAACAGGUGGUGCAUGGUUGUCGUCAGCUCGUGCCGUGAGAUGUUGGGUAAGUCCCGCACGAACGCACCCUCGUCCUUGUUCCCACCCGAAUGGUGGGAAUCCUGGGAACUGCCGGGUCACUC